CUUUCUGGGAACUGUUUGCUCUGUUCCUCCUAACCUUCGUCUUGUUUUGAGUUUAACCAAAGCUGGUUAAGAGACGUGAGGAACAUUUUGCAUUUAAUUUGAUGUGUUGGAGCUGCCUCCUGGAGGAGAGUUUGACAACAUUCCCUGGGUUUCGUGGUCCUCAGAGGUUUUCUGUAGGAGUUGCAGGCUGUGCUAGCACCACUUAUAGGACGAGCUUUGUUACAAGCUGUGCGCUUGUCUGUGCGCCGGCUUGCUGCAGGGAGUUUGUCCUGAUCAUCCAGAAAGAUCACUUGGCAGUAGAGCGCAGAAGCUGAGCCCCAUGAACAAAGCAGCUGAUAUCAUGAGGAAACUGGAGGUGUAGAAGACAUAGUGGAAAUCAUUGGUUAUAUCCACCAGGAGACCUGAAAUGGAAACCACAGCUAGGUCAAAGAGGAGAUGCAUACUAAAGACAACUGUAUGGCAUUCACAGAAACAUUAGACCUAAAAAAUUCAGCAAACUGCCAUAUACAAAAGAUAAGCAUUCACAGAUGAGUUAAGUUCUCUUUUCCAGAUUCUAGAGCCUGUUUGCAGUCACCACUUAGGUGGUGUUUCUACUUCCAUAUAUAAAGUAUUUCCCAGUAAACAGAGAAAUCAGGAAAGAAAGGAAAUCGUAACUUUUUCCCAACCUGCUGAUUCACUUUGUUUACUCAGCAGAGGACCCCUGUGCCAGUUGCUGGAUUUUGGAAUGACUGACCCUGUUACAUUCCAGGUCAGAAAACAGAACAAAUAAAGAAAUGGGAUUUUUUUU